GCCACCAACAGGCCUUGGGCUUGUCCCUCACCCCCCACCCCGGGGCUCUGACUCUGGGCCUAGUCCUUUUUCUCUAAAAACACUACCGUGUGUGUGUGUGUGUGUGUAGGUGUGUGUGGUGGGAGCGCUGAGAACAUGAGAGGGGCGCAGGGGGGGGCUUCCUGUCUUCCCAGACCUGCAGCGGCCCCGCUUCGUGGCUACAGGAGUUCACUGGAGAACGACUUGUGGAUGUUUAACCUCCGCUCCUGCCGCUCCUGCCGCUGCUGUCGGAGCCCACUUCCACUUGUCCCGGGUCGCCGGGAGGCUGAGAAACAGCAGGUUGCGCUACAUGGUGAAGCAGCUGGAGAACGGGGAGGUCAACAUCGAAGAGCUGAAGAAGAACCUGGAGUACACGGCGUCCCUGCUGGAGGCCGUCUACAUAGACGAGACGCGGUGAGAGGCGCCCCGGGGCGGGGUGGGGGGACAGGGGGGCCCGGAGGGAGGGCGGGAGGAAGGGGCAGGGGCACAGGGAGGGAGUUGGCCCGGUGGGGACACAGGGCAGCGAGGGAUGGAGG
rnacentral:lncRNA from 1 species